rnacentral:rRNA from 1 species
GUGAGGAAUAUUGCGCAAUGGGGGAAACCCUGACGCAGCGACGCCGCGUGGGUGAAGAAGGCCUUCGGGUUGUAAAGCCCUGUCAGGUGGGAAGAAACCUCUGAAGGUGAAUAGCCUUCGGAACUGACGGUACCACCAAAGGAAGCACCGGCUAACUCCGUGCCAGCAGCCGCGGUAAGACGGAGGGUGCAAGCGUUGCUCGGAAUCACUGGGCGUAAAGCGCGUGUAGGCGGUCCGAUAAGUCGAGUGUGAAAGCCCGAGGCUCAACCUCGGAAGUGCAUUCGAAACUGCCGGACUUGAGUACGGGAGAGGGAAGUGGAAUUCCUGGUGUAGAGGUGAAAUUCGUAGAUAUCAGGAGGAACACCGGUGGCGAAGGCGGCUUCCUGGACCGAUACUGACGCUGAGACGCGAAAGCGUGGGGAGCAAACAGGAUUAGAUACCCCAGUAGUCC